AUGAACGCUAGCGGCAGGCUUAACACAUGCAAGUCGAGGGGCAGCAUAAUGGAUAGCAAUAUCUAUGGUGGCGACCGGCGCACGGGUGCGUAACGCGUAUGCAACCUACCUUUAACGAGGGGGAUAACACUGAGAAAUUGGUACUAAUACCCCAUAAUAUCAUAGAAGGCAUCUUUUAUGGUUGAAAAUUCCGAUGGUUAGAGAUGGGCAUGCGUUGUAUUAGCUAGUUGGUGGGGUAACGGCUCACCAAGGCGACGAUACAUAGGGGGACUGAGAGGUUAACCCCCCACACUGGUACUGAGACACGGACCAGACUCCUACGGGAGGCAGCAGUGAGGAAUAUUGGUCAAUGGACGCAAGUCUGAACCAGCCAUGCCGCGUGCAGGAUGACGGCUCUAUGAGUUGUAAACUGCUUUUGUACUAGGGUAAACUCACCUACGUGUAGGUGACUGAAAGUAUAGUACGAAUAAGGAUCGGCUAACUCCGUG
rnacentral:rRNA from 1 species